rnacentral:lncRNA from 1 species
AAUUAGGUAAUUAUUAAAUAAUUGUAAGGGCCAAAGGAGAAUAUUGUCAAACUGGCCUCUCUGCCAAGCCAACUUGCUGCUCUUUUCACCCAGGAGGCUGCUGAGGAGGCUGUGAUCUCUUCUGUUGGUCAUUGUCUCAGGGCCACAGCUGUAAGCCACAGAUCAGGAAGCUGUGGCCAGAACUGUUGGAUCAUGGGCCACACCAAGCCCUUUGACUCCACAGCAGCAAAAUUUAUUCUGAAUUCUUUAAUUUAAAAAAAUCAUACCUAUGAGGUGUGCUACAGGAAUUCAGAUACAAUAAGUUGCAUAUAAAACCCGACCUCAUUGCUCAUUGUGGUAAAGCAAGGAUGAUGAGAAACGCACCUCAGAAGCAAAAACACGCACUUCACGGGUGCUCCGGGACCCAAGCCCCGAGACAUGUCCACGUGACCUUCUGGAAAGACACACCGCCCACCUGACUGCACGACAGGACUGGUCCAGCCUCCCGGCUCCUCAGGAAGGAGUAGGGAGGUGUUUGCAGAGCAGACUCUUUGCUGCAGGAAAGUUCUGGGGAAAGUAUGAGGCAUCGCGAUGGUGUGGAAGAGGCAGGAUCUGACUAAGGGAAGGAGAUUCAUCAAGAGUGUACGAUGGAGUUACCCAGCCAAGCAGCUAGGAUGAGACAUGUCCCUGAAACAAUAACCAUUUGGAAGAACUUAGGAUUAUAGGAAAGUUGGAAAGCCUGUUCAUUCAUCCAUCCAUCCACCCACGUGCCUCCCACCCUGUGUUUCUCUUUUGCAACAUUUAUCACACACGCAUAAAUAUUUGUGUAACUCUGGUUUACUGUCUGCCUCCUGCACUAGACGAUAUGCUCCCAAGAACACAGCCAUGUCUCUUGGGCUCCACACUAGAUCUCCAUCCCCAG